ACGGGAGGCAGCAGUGGGGAAUAUUGCACAAUGGGGGAAACCCUGAUGCAGCGACGCCGCGUGAGUGAAGAAGUAUUUCGGUAUGUAAAGCUCUAUCAGCAGGGAAGAAAAUGACGGUACCUGACUAAGAAGCCCCGGCUAACUACGUGCCAGCAGCCGCGGUAAUACGUAGGGAGCAAGCGUUAUCCGGAAUUACUGGGUGUAAAGGGAGUGUAGGCGGGACUGUAAGUCAGAUGUGAAAUAUGCCGGCUCAACUGGCAGACUGCAUUUGAAACUGCGGUUCUUGAGUGAAGUAGAGGUAAGCGGAAUUCCUAGUGUAGCGGUGAAAUGCGUAGAUAUUAGGAGGAACAUCAGUGGCGAAGGCGGCUUACUGGGCUUUAACUGACGCUGAGGCUCGAAAGCGUGGGGAGCAAACAGGAUUAGAUACCCUGGUA
rnacentral:rRNA from 1 species